GACGAACGCUGGCGGCGUGCUUAGCACAUGCAAGUCGAACGGAAAGGCCCUGCUUUUGUGGGGUGCUCGAGUGGCGAACGGGUGAGUAACACGUGAGUAACCUGCCCUUGACUUUGGGAUAACUUCAGGAAACUGGGGCUAAUACCGGAUAGGAGCUCCUGCUGCAUGGUGGGGGUUGGAAAGUUUCGGCGGUUGGGGAUGGACUCGCGGCUUAUCAGCUUGUUGGUGGGGUAGUGGCUUACCAAGGCUUUGACGGGUAGCCGGCCUGAGAGGGUGACCGGCCACAUUGGGACUGAGAUACGGCCCAGACUCCUACGGGAGGCAGCAGUGGGGAAUAUUGCACAAUGGGCGGAAGCCUGAUGCAGCAACGCCGCGUGCGGGAUGACGGCCUUCGGGUUGUAAACCGCUUUCGCCUGUGACGAAGCGUGAGUGACGGUAAUGGGUAAAGAAGCACCGGCUAACUACGUGCCAGCAGCCGCGGUGAUACGUAGGGUGCGAGCGUUGUCCGGAUUUAUUGGGCGUAAAGGGCUCGUAGGUGGUUGAUCGCGUCGGAAGUGUAAUCUUGGGGCUUAACCCUGAGCGUGCUUUCGAUACGGGUUGACUUGAGGAAGGUAGGGGAGAAUGGAAUUCCUGGUGGAGCGGUGGAAUGCGCAGAUAUCAGGAGGAACACCAGUGGCGAAGGCGGUUCUCUGGGCCUUUCCUGACGCUGAGGAGCGAAAGCGUGGGGAGCGAACAGGCUUAGAUACCCUGGUAGUCCACGCUGUAAACGGUGGGUACUAGGUGUGGGGUCCAUUCCACGGGUUCCGCGCCGUAGCUAACGCUUUAAGUACCCCGCCUGGGGAGUACGGCCGCAAGGCUAAAACUCAAAGGAAUUGACGGGGCCCCGCACAAGCGGCGGAGCAUGCGGAUUAAUUCGAUGCAACGCGUAGAACCUUACCUGGGUUUGACAUGGAUCGGGAGUGCUCAGAGAUGGGUGUGCCUCUUUUGGGGUCGGUUCACAGGUGGUGCAUGGCUGUCGUCAGCUCGUGUCGUGAGAUGUUGGGUUAAGUCCCGCAACGAGCGCAACCCUUGUUCACUGUUGCCAGCACGUUAUGGUGGGGACUCAGUGGAGACCGCCUGGGGUCAACUCGGAGGAAGGUGGGGAUGACGUCAAGUCAUCAUGCCCCUUAUGUCCAGGGCUUCACGCAUGCUACAAUGGCUGGUACAGAGAGUGGCGAGCCUGUGAGGGUGAGCGAAUCUCGGAAAGCCGGUCUCAGUUCGGAUUGGGGUCUGCAACUCGACCUCAUGAAGUCGGAGUCGCUAGUAAUCGCAGAUCAGCAACGCUGCGGUGAAUACGUUCCCGGG
rnacentral:rRNA from 1 species